GCCUGGCGUGGUGGUGUGUACCUGUAGUCCCAGCUACUUGGGAGGCUGAGGUGGGAGGAUUACUUGAGCCCAGGAGUUCUGGGCCAUCGUGUGCUAUGCCAAUCAGGUGUCUGCACUAAGUUCAGCAUCAAUAUGGUGACCUCCAGGGAGCGGGGGACCACCAGGUUGCCUAUGGAGGGGUGAACCAGCCCAGGUCAAAAACGGAGCAGGUCAAAACUCCCAUGCUGAUCAGUAGUGGGAUUGCACCUGUGAAGAGCCACUGCACUCAAGCCUGCAGAACAUAGCGAGACCCCAUCUCUA
ensembl:misc_RNA Metazoa_SRP Metazoan signal recognition particle RNA